UGACUAACAUGAGACCUACUGUGGCUGGA
rnacentral:piRNA from 1 species